rnacentral:rRNA from 1 species
GUAGGUGGCAAGGGGGGGGGGGGGGCUUGUCCGGAAUUAUUGGGCGUAAAGCGCGCGCAGGCGGUCCUUUAAGUCUGAUGUGAAAGCCCACGGGCUCAACCGUGGAGGGUCAUUGGAAACUGGGGGACUUGAGUACAGAAGAGGAAAGCGGAAUUCCAAGUGUAGCGGUGAAAUGCGUAGAGAUUUGGAGGAACACCAGUGGCGAAGGCGGCUUUCUGGUCUGUAACUGACGCUGAGGCGCGAAAGCGUGGGGAGCAAACAGGAUUAGAUACCCUGGUAGUCCACGCCGUAAACGAUGAGUGCUAAGUGUUAGGGGGUUUCCGCCCCUUAGUGCUGCAGCUAACGCAUUAAGCACUCCGCCUGGGGAGUACAGCCGCAAAGGCUG